AGGUUGGCGCCUAAUACGUGUCAACUGUGACGUUACUCGCAGUAAGAAAGCACCGGCUAACUCCGUGCCAGCAGCCGCGGUAAUACGGAGGGGUGCAAGCGUUAAUCGGAAUUACUGGGCGUAAAGCGCACGCAGGCGGUUGGAUAAGUUAGAUGUGAAAGCCCCGGGCUCAACCUGGGAAUUGCAUUUAAAACUGUCCAGCUAGAGUCUUGUAGAGGGGGGUAGAAUUCCAGGUGUAGCGGUGAAAUGCGUAGAGAUCUGGAGGAAUACCGGUGGCGAAGGCGGCCCCCUGGACAAAGACUGACGCUCAGGUGCGAAAGCGUGGGGAGCAAACAGGAUUAGAUACC
rnacentral:rRNA from 1 species